UAACAUUAUGCAUUUAGAGCUUUGAGGUGUCUGUACAUCUGUGCAUCCAUUUUAAAAGCUGACUAACCAUCUUCACCUCUUAUACACCAUAUUCCAGGGUGAGCAAGGCCCACCUGGCCCCCCAGGAAUAGAAGAGAUCAGAGAAUUCCCUCCAGAUUUUCUUCUACCCAAGGGCUACAAGGGAGACAAGGGUCUUCCUGGACCAUGUGGACCCAAGGGAAGAAGUUGGGAUGUAGGAAGCUUCAUACAAGACAAUAAAGGGGAGCAAGGAAUCUUUGGAUUUCCUGGAAUUCAGGUAAGUGACUUAAAUCUGAUUGUCCCUUAAUUUUACUUAUAUAUAAUAUUUUUAAUGCCAGUAUUUCUGUUCCAGGGUCUUCCGGGAAUU
rnacentral:lncRNA from 1 species